AAAAGACUUAGUCCUAACCUUGCCGUUAGUUCUUGCUAGGUAUAUACAUGCAAGUAUCCGCACCCCAGUGUAAAUGCCCUCGACCUUUAACCUAAGCAUGAGGAGCAGGUAUCAGGCACACCCACAGUAGUAGCCUAAGACACCUUGCUUAGCCACACCCCCACGGGUAUUCAGCAGUAAUUAACAUUAAGCAAUAAGUGCAAACUUGACUUAGCCAUAGCAAAUCUAGGGCCGGUAAAUCUUGUGCCAGCCACCGCGGUCAUACAAGAGGCCCAAAUUAACUGCAACUCUCGGCGUAAAGAGUGGCGAAAUGCUAUCACAACAACUAAGAUCAAACUGCAACUAGGCUGUCACAAGCUCAAGAUGCACCCAAACCCACCCUCAAAACGAUCUUAGCGCCAACGAUUAAUUUCAACCCACGAAAGCCAGGGCACAAACUGGGAUUAGAUACCCCACUAUGCCUGGCCCUAAAUCUAGAUACUUCCACCCACCAAAGUAUCCGCCUGAGAACUACGAGCACAAACGCUUAAAACUCUAAGGACUUGGCGGUGCCCCAAACCCACCUAGAGGAGCCUGUUCUAUAAUCGAUAACCCACGAUACACCCAACCACCCCUUGCCAGCACAGCCUACAUACCGCCGUCUCCAGCCCACCUUCCCUGAGAGCAAAAACAGUGAGCUCAACAGUUUUUCCCCGCUAAUAAGACAGGUCAAGGUAUAGCCUAUGGGGUGGAAGAAAUGGGCUACAUUUUCUAGCACAGAAUACCCACGAAUAAGGGACAUGAAACAACCCUUAGAAGGAGGAUUUAGCAGUAAGACAGGACAAUAAUGCCUGCCUUAAGCCCGGCCCUGGGGCACGUACACACCGCCCGUCACCCUCCUCACAAGCCGCCACCUACACUGUAAAUAACCCACACACCCUAAAGCUGAAGAUGAGGCAAGUCGUAACAAGGUAAGUGUACCGGAAGGUGCACUUAGAGCAUC
rnacentral:ncRNA from 1 species